ensembl:lncRNA
GACAGACAGAGCUGUAUCAGAGAGAGGUGGGACGCCGAAGACAGAAAAAUGUCUUUUUUUGAUUUCUGGAGCAGCACGAAGGAGAGAGGCGCGCUGCUGAGGAGAGCCAAUCAGCUGAGGCUGAAUCCUUCACAGCUGUGGAAGAGUGGACCAGAAAGGCAGCACGCACGGGUGUGCGGAAGCACGACAGCGGGGAGCACGAGCACAGACGUCGGAGGGGAGCACACACACAGGAGUCAAGGGAGCAACGGGGAUUUAUUGUGUUUACAGCUUUCACUAAACCUGUUGCUAGGCAACAGCGAGGUUCGACCACUUCUCCAGGAUGAGAGAAUGGCGUCUCUGCUGCCACCUGUAGGUAUGGAGGUUUUCAGAUGCUUCACAGCAGUCUCAAAGGAGGUGGUCCAACAACGACACGAAGCUGAGGUAAAGGAGCGAAAGGCGUGGAAGCACCAAAAGG